rnacentral:rRNA from 1 species
GACGAACGCUGGCGGCGUGCCUAACACAUGCAAGUCGAACGGUAAGGGCCUGCCUUUGUUGGGUGCGUGAGUGGCGAACGGGUGAGUAACCCGUAGGUAACCUGCCCUGGAGUUUGGGAUAACUACAGGAAACUGGAGCUAAUACCGGAUAGGAGCACCUGCUGCAUGGUGGGGGUUGGAAAGUUGCGGUGGUUGGGGAUGGAGUCGCGGCUUAUCAGCUUGUAGGUGGGGUAGAGGAGUACCACGGCGUUGACGGGGAGCCGGCCUGAGAGCGUGACCGGGCACAGUGGGCCUGAGGGAGGGACCAGAGGGGUACGGGGGACAGUGGUGGAAAACAUUGCACAAUAGGCGGAAGCGUGAGGCAGCGACGUCGGGUGCGGAAUCUCGGUUUUCGGGGAGUAAACAGCUUGCGCCUGUGACGUAGCGUGAGUGACGGUAACGUAUAAAGAAGCACCGGCUAACUACGUG